GACGAACGCUGGCGGCGUGCUUAACACAUGCAAGUCGAGCGGUAAGGCCCUUUCGGGGGUACACGAGCGGCGAACGGGUGAGUAACACGUGGGUGACCUGCCCUCAGCUCUGGGAUAAGCCUGGGAAACCGGGUCUAAUACUGGAUAUGACUCCAUGACGCAUGUUGUGGGGUGGAAAGCCUUGUGCGGCUGAGGAUGGGCCCCGCGGCCUAUCAGCUUUGUUGGGUGGGGUGAANGGCCCUACCAAGGCGACGACGGGUAGCCGGCCUGAGAGGGCGACCGGCCACACUGGGACUGAGACACGGCCCAGACUCCUACGGGAGGCAGCAGUGGGGAAUCUUGCGCAAUGGGCGAAAGCCUGACGCAGCGACG
rnacentral:rRNA from 1 species